GUCGAGCGACUGAUUAGAAGCUUGCUUCUAUGACGUUAGCGGCGGACGGGUGAGUAACACGUGGGCAACCUGCCUGUAAGACUGGGAUAACUCCGGGAAACCGGAGCUAAUACCGGAUAACAUUUUCUCUUGCAUAAAAGAAAAUUGAAAGAUGGUUUCGGCUAUCACUUACAGAUGGGCCCGCGGUGCAUUAGCUAGUUGGUGAGGUAACGGCUCACCAAGGCAACGAUGCAUAGCCGACCUGAGAGGGUGAUCGGCCACACUGGGACUGAGACACGGCCCAGACUCCUACGGGAGGCAGCAGUAGGGAAUCUUCCGCAAUGGACGAAAGUCUGACGGAGCAACGCCGCGUGAGUGAUGAAGGCUUUCGGGUCGUAAAACUCUGUUGUUAGGGAAGAACAAGUACAAGAGUAACUGCUUGUACCUUGACGGUACCUAACCAGAAAGCCACGGCUAACUACGUGCCAGCAGCCGCGGUAAUACGUAGGUGGCAAGCGUUAUCCGGAAUUAUUGGGCGUAAAGCGCGCGCAGGCGGUUUCUUAAGUCUGAUGUGAAAGCCCACGGCUCAACCGUGGAGGGUCAUUGGAAACUGGGGAACUUGAGUGCAGAAGAGAAAAGCGGAAUUUCACGUGUAGCGGUGAAAUGCGUAGAGAUGUGGAGGAACACCAGUGGCGAAGGCGGCUUUUUGGUCUGUAACUGACGCUGAGGCGCGAAAGCGUGGGGGAGCAAACAGGAUUAGAUACCCUGGUAGUCCACGCCGUAAACGAUGAGUGCUAAGUGUUAGAGGGUUUCCGCCCUUUUAGUGCUGCAGCUAACGCAUUAAGCACUCCGCCUGGGGGAGUACGGUCGCAAGACUGAAACUCAAAGGAAUUGACGGGGGCCCGCACACGCGGUGGAGCAUGUGGUUUAAUUUGAAGCAACGCGAAGAACCUUACCAGGUCUUGACAUCCUCUGACAACUCUAGAGAUAGAGCGUUCCCCUUCGGGGGACAGAGUGACAGGUGGUGCAUGGUUGUCGUCAGCUCGUGUCGUGAGAUGUUGGGUUAAGUCCCGCAACGAGCGCAACCCUUGAUUUUAGUUGCCAGCAUUUAGUUGGGCACUCUAAGGUGACUGCCGGUGACAAACCGGAGGAAGGUGGGGAGGACGUCAAAUCAUCAUGCCCCUUAUGACCUGGGGUACACACGUGCUACAAUGGAUGGUACAAAGGGGUGCAAGACCGCGAGGUCAAGCCAAUCCCAUAAAACCAUUUUCAGUUCGGAUUGUAGGGUGCAACUCGCCUACAUGAAGCUGGAAUCGCUAGUAAUCGCGGAUCAGCACGCCGCGGUGAAUACGUUCCCGGGCCUUGUACACACCGCCCGUCACACCACGAGAGUUUGUAACACCCGAAGUCGGUGGGGUAACCUUUAUGGAGCCAGCCG
rnacentral:rRNA from 2 species